rnacentral:rRNA from 1 species
GGAAUCUUCGGCAAUGGACGAAAGUCUGACCGAGCAACGCCGCGUGAGUGAAGAAGGUUUUCGGAUCGUAAAACUCUGUUGUUAGAGAAGAACAAGGGUGAGAGUAACUGUUCACCCCUUGACGGUAUCUAACCAGAAAGCCACGGCUAACUACGUGCCAG